rnacentral:rRNA from 1 species
UACGGAGGGUGCGAGCGUUGUCCGGAAUCACUGGGCGUAAAGGGCGCGUAGGUGGCGUUCCAAGUCAACGGUGAAAGCUCGGGCUCAACCCCGAGUCGGCCGUCGAUACUGGGAGGCUUGAGCACUGUAGAGGCAGAUGGAAUUCCGGGUGUAGCGGUGGAAUGCGUAGAGAUCCGGAAGAACACCGGUGGCGAAGGCGGUCUGCUGGGCAGUAGCUGACACUGAGGCGCGACAGCGUGGGAGCAACAG